rnacentral:tRNA from 1 species
GGGGCGGUGGCGCAGUUGGGAGCGCGUUAGACUGAAGCUGCAAACUUCAGCCGCUUUCUGGCAUCAGAAGUAUAUCUAAAGGUCACCGGUUCGAUCCCGGUUCACCCCA